GUCCGUGGGGAGGCAGCGUCCCCAGGGCUCAGAGAAGCCACUAGCUCCCCAAGUCCCCCAAUCCAGGUCGAGAUUCGAGAUAAGUGGCUAGCGCUUGCUGCUGCCCUUUUCAGGAGCGGAUGCCUAGGUGUUGAGCAUAGUGCUCUGGUAGUCUGUCGGGAAGUACUGCGCUCCCCAAAGCCACGCAGCCAAGGUCCGGGAUGCAAUCUCUGGACCUAGGCGCCCCAGCCCAGCUUGGCCCCGCAGGCAUCCAAGCGUUUGAUGUAGAAAAGACCUAUCCUUGCUGUCACAGGAGCAUUCCUGCGGUUCCAAUCCCAAAGCACUUCUGUUAAUAUUGAAAAACGUGCGCUUGCAUCUCAAGUGAGGCAACCCAGACACGACAGCCAUUUCAAUAUUCAUGAAAUUGUUUAAUCUUCUAAAUUCGUCGUGUUUAAGUUACGUUUUGGUGAGUUAUUGACCGCCGCUGCAAUGUGGUUAAUGAAGUUUUGUGUGCUUGUUGUGUGCUUCUGCUACAAGAUCUUUU